AGCUCUUCCACCUAUUCUCUUUUUGUGAUCGUUGUCUAUUUUGCCUAACUCUCUUGAUUGUAUUGUGAUUAUAACAUCUUGAUAUCUAUUGAUUAUACACAGAGGCAAUAUCACCUAUCUAAUCUUGACCUCUUGGAUACUAUUACUACUACUGUUUUCCCAUCACUUGAUGCAACUAAAGUUUCUUCUAGGCACAGAACAGAGAUCAGAAGCUGGAAUUUACCUUCAAUCUGUAAGCAGCAGGAUUCCCAGGGAAGAGCCUGGCAGCUUUCUCAACCCAGACCAGGUUAGGGGAGCUGUGGGGGCCACAGCUGUCACUGAGAUAAGAAAUGUCUCUGCAGAGCUGGAAGUCAGGAGCUGAGGAGAUACGAAGGGCUCCCAUUGUGCUCCUGAGUGCCCCUCCUCUCCUGGCUGCACGCUGAGAGCAGGUGGAGGUGGGAACAAAGGGCAGGAGCAAGGGCAGAGAACUUUUUUGCUUUUUCAAUCUUCCAAGAAAAAAAAAAAACACAA